rnacentral:rRNA from 1 species
AUUGAACGCUGGCGGCAGGCCUAACACAUGCAAGUCGAGCGAGCGGCGGACGGGUGAGUAAUGUAUGGGGACUGCCCGAAAGAGGGGGCUAACUACUGGAAACGGUGGCUAAUACCGCAUACUAUCGGAUAACCCAUAUUGGAUUAGCUAGUAGGUGGGGUAAAGGCUCACCUAGGCCACGAUCUAUAGCUGGUCUGAGAGGAUGAUCAGCCACACUGGGACUGAGACACGGCCCAGACUCCUACGGAGGCAGCAGUGGGGAAUGUUGGACAAGGGGCGCAAGCCUGAUGGAGCCAUGCCGCGUGAAUGAAGAAGGCCUUAGGGUUGUAAAGUACGGUGAGCGGGGAGGCGUUACCUACAGAAAAAGCAACGGAUAACUCCGUGCCAGCAGCCGCGGUAAUAC